AAAUAUCCUGCGUUGAUACAGAGAAGAUCGUAUUGCUAAUUGCACACGGGGUAAACUCGUGAGAGUUAUGUCUUAAGAACAACCAACGUGACUCCUGCUAAGGUUGGGUGUUACAGAGUUCAUCAGAAUUAUUCAAGUGACGCUCUGGCUGGUCAUCAGAACCCACGAUACCCUCACUCAGAUGUAUUUAAGACCAGUAGCUGCUGGCUGUGGUGGACACAUGGAUUGUGACACUGCUGAGGAGGAACUAGCUGAAGGUGCACCCCUGGGAGGACGCACUUCAUGCCAAAUAAGGGACACUGGAUAUGCUUUGUACAUCCAUCAUGAACGUUCUAACCACAGUUGUAUGAAAAUGGCAACUUUCCAGCCUAACUGAUUUUGUGAUUCUUCUCUUUUACUUUCAGUUGAAAUGCCUCAUCUGAACUGACUCUUUAUCAGCUAAGAGGAGUUUGCAGUUGCCGCUGUACAGAGCACUUUUCCAUUUGGCAUCCUUUUCAGUUGUGACUGUGUGAGAUCUGACAAAGAAUAUACAUUUCGCCAACCUUGUAAUCCAAGAUGCCUCCUUUCUAACCAAACAGGGAAUGGCUGGGUAAUUUAUUCAUUUUCUGAGCAAUGGGAAAAGCUGAGUACUAGGAAAAUAAUACUAGGAAAGGAAUAUUAGGAAUAGACAGCACAGAAUUGCUGAAUUACCAGUGAACAUUGAUACUUUUCUUUCCAAGAGAUCUAUAUCAUACUGUUUCAUUAGAGAACAUAAAUAAAAGCGAAGUGCCUCUUCCCCUAUGCA
rnacentral:lncRNA from 1 species